GACAAGGUGGCCGAGUGGUUAAGGCGUUACAUUUAGGUUGCGAAUAACAACUUGAAACUGUAAUGGGAAACCGCGCGAGUUCGAAUCUCGUCCUUGUCA